GCUCAGGACGAACGCUGGCGGCGUGCUUAACACAUGCAAGUCGAACGAUGAACCACUUCGGUGGGGAUUAGUGGCGAACGGGUGAGUAACACGUGGGCAAUCUGCCCUUCACUCUGGGACAAGCCCUGGAAACGGGGUCUAAUACCGGAUAAUACUUCCACUCGCAUGGGUGGGGGUUGAAAGCUCCGGCGGUGAAGGAUGAGCCCGCGGCCUAUCAGCUUGUUGGUGAGGUAAUGGCUCACCAAGGCGACGACGGGUAGCCGGCCUGAGAGGGCGACCGGCCACACUGGGACUGAGACACGGCCCAGACUCCUACGGGAGGCAGCAGUGGGGAAUAUUGCACAAUGGGCGAAAGCCUGAUGCAGCGACGCCGCGUGAGGGAUGACGGCCUUCGGGUUGUAAACCUCUUUCAGCAGGGAAGAAGCGAAAGUGACGGUACCUGCAGAAGAAGCGCCGGCUAACUACGUGCCAGCAGCCGCGGUAAUACGUAGGGCGCAAGCGUUGUCCGGAAUUAUUGGGCGUAAAGAGCUCGUAGGCGGUCUGUCGCGUCGGAUGUGAAAGCCCGGGGCUUAACCCCGGGUCUGCAUUCGAUACGGGCAGACUAGAGUGUGGUAGGGGAGAUCGGAAUUCCUGGUGUAGCGGUGAAAUGCGCAGAUAUCAGGAGGAACACCGGUGGCGAAGGCGGAUCUCUGGGCCAUUACUGACGCUGAGGAGCGAAAGCGUGGGGAGCGAACAGGAUUAGAUACCCUGGUAGUCCACGCCGUAAACGGUGGGAACUA
rnacentral:rRNA from 1 species